rnacentral:lncRNA from 1 species
GAGGACCAAGGGAUCACAAGGGCCCUGAGAAUGACAAAGGGGCAUCUCUCACAAUGAUUCUGGAGGAAGAGAUGAUUUUUCAAUAUUUUACCUUUUCUGAUGAUGAAAAAGGAUAUCUACCACCAUAGAAGAAAUGGAC